CUUGACUUUAACCGGAUGGAGGCUUUUCUAACAUGCAUGGAUCCCUUGAAUAGUUAACUAUACGAUGAACCGGAGAGGCGAAAAGACCGAACUCAACUGGGAAAAAUUGUACUGGGAGCUGGAAAGAAUAAUGAAACCAUGAAACCUGAAUGAUUGAAGUCGAGCCCGACUAGGCCAUAGUGGCGUUGAUUGGUGGAUUCCCUCUUCAGCACAAUGAAAGCAAAGACAAGAUUAAAAAAAGCAAAAAAAAGAAAAAAAAAAAAAAAGAAAGAGG
rnacentral:sRNA from 1 species